rnacentral:rRNA from 1 species
CCUACGGGAUGCAGCAGUGGGGAAUAUUGCACAGUGGGCGCAAGCCUGAUGCAGCCAUGCCGCGUGUGUGAAGAAGGCCUUCGGGUUGUAAAGCACUUUCAGCGGGGAGGAAGGCGGUGAGGUUAAUAACCUCAUCGAUUGACGUUACCCGCAGAAGAAGCACCGGCUAACUCCGUGCCAGCAGCCGCGGUAAUACGGAGGGUGCAAGCGUUAAUCGGAAUUACUGGGCGUAAAGCGCACGCAGGCGGUUUGUUAAGUCAGAUGUGAAAUCCCCGGGCUCAACCUGGGAACUGCAUCUGAUACUGGCAAGCUUGAGUCUCGUAGAGGGGGGUAGAAUUCCAGGUGUAGCGGUGAAAUGCGUAGAGAUCUGGAGGAAUACCGGUGGCGAAGGCGGCCCCCUGGACGAAGACUGACGCUCAGGUGCGAAAGCGUGGGGAGCAAACAGGAUUAGAUACCCGAGUAGUC